rnacentral:lncRNA from 1 species
UUCAGAUCCCGGGUGUGGACAUGGCACUGCUUGUCAAGCCACGCUGUGUGUCUGAGUGAAUGCAUUUAUGCAAUUAUUCAGAGCUAAGAAAGCAUUCAUACUCUGAGCUCUGUAUUGAAGAAUACUGAACACGGCAAUGAACCCUGCUCAGAUGAGAUCUAAGAGAAGAGAAGAAAAAGGAGUGAAGACGGGACAACCAACAUUUAAUAAGACUUGCAGAUUCCGAACUAGAACGUGCAAAAGGACCUCUGUGACCUCUGUGACAGUGAAGAAGAAAGGACAGGGCAGCUGCUGGGGUCAAGACAGGAAGACGUUGACUUGCAUGAAGAUGCGUGGAGAGGACUUCCUUAGGUUUGAGCCACUUCAAGAGGAAAUAGGAGGAAACAUCAAGGCCGCCUGUAAGGAGAGCAAGACUUUACUCCUGCAGCCCCCUCAGGACUGUGGAUGCCCCUCCCUGACCUUGACCCCUCCCUUCGUGUCUCAUUCUGCAUCCUCAGGGCUCUCAGGCUCUGACUUAGUCAACAGGGACCCC